rnacentral:rRNA from 1 species
CCUACGGGUGGCAGCAGUGAGGAAUAUUGGUCAAUGGACGAGAGUCUGAACCAGCCAAGUAGCGUGAAGGAUGACUGCCCUAAGGGUUGUAAACUUCUUUUAUAAAGGAAUAAAACGAGGCACGUGUGCCUUUUUGCAGGUACUUUAUGAAUAAGGAUCGGCUAACUCCGUGCCAGCAGCCGCGGUAAUACGGAGGAUCCGAGCGUUAUCCGGAUUUAUUGGGUUUAAAGGGAGCGUAGGCGGGGUGUUAAGUCAGUGGUGAAAGGUUGGGGCUCAACCGUAAAAGUGCAAUUGAUACUGGCAGUCUUGAGUACAGUUGAGGUAGGCGGAAUGCGUGGUGUAGCGGUGAAAUGCUUAGAUAUCACGAAGAACCCCGAUUGCGAAGGCAGCUUACUAAACUGUGACUGACAUUGAGGCUCGAAAGUGUGGGUAUCAAACAGGAUUAGAUACCCGGGUAGUC